CCACACCUAAAAACUUUCCACGUGAACCGUUAUAACUAUGUUCUGUGCCUCGUCUUGUUGAAAGAUUUGAGGCUGAACGAAGGUGAGUCUGUGUCUUUUUGAUGCGGAUUUGCUGAUGUUAUUUUAAACACCUAUUACUUAAUACUGAACUAUACUCCGAAUACGAAAGUUUUUGGUUUUAACAAUUAACAACUUUCAGCAGUGGAUGUCUAGGCUCGCACAUCGAUGAAGAACGCUGCGAACUGCGAUACGUAAUGCGAAUUGCAGAAUUCAGUGAGUCAUCGAAAUUUUGAACGCAUAUUGCACUUUCGGGUUAUGCCUGGAAGUAUGCCUGUAUCAGUGUCCGUACAUCAAACUUGCCUUUCUUUUUUUGUGUAGUCAAAAUUGGAGAUGGCAGAAUGUGAGGUGUCUCGCGCUGUCUUUUUAAGAUGGUUCGAGUCCCUUUAAAUGUACGUUGAUUCUUUCUUGUGUCUGCGAAUUGCGACGCUAUGCUCUUUGUGAUCGGUUUAGAUUGCUUUGCGCUGGUGGGCGACUUCGGUUAGGACAUAUGGAAGCAACCUCAAUUGGCGGUAUGUUCGGCUUUGCCUGACGUUAAGCUAAGCGAGUGUGGUUUUCUGUUCUUUCCUUGAGGUGUACCUAUCGUGUGUGAGGUCGGUUUGAGCUAUAUGGUUGCUUGGUUGUAUGGUCUAGCGUUUUCAGACGCCUGCUUCGGUAGGUAAAGGAGACAACACCGAUUUGGGACAGAGAGUUUACUCUCUUUUUCACUUUGGACCUGAUAUCAGGUAAGACUACCCGCUGAACUUAAG
rnacentral:rRNA from 1 species